GCGAGGACUCGAGGGGACUGAGCGACAGGGAGAGGUCGGGCAGGCUGGGACUCUGUUCCUUGGAGCAUAGGAGGAAGAGGGGUGAUUUCUUUAUUCCUUGGAGUGUAGGAGGAUGAGGGGAGAUUUUAUAGAGGUGUGGAAGAUCUUGAGGGAAAUAGACUGGG